AUUUCUUUGGGCCGCUCCUGUGGCAUAUGGAGGUUCCCAGGCUAGGGGUCCAAUCGGAGCUGUAGCCGCCAGCCUACGCCGGAGCCACAGCAACGCAGGAUCCGAGCCGCGUCUGCAACCUACACCACAGCUCAUGGCAAUGCCGGAUUGUUAACCCACUGAGCAAGGGCAGGGAUCGAAUCCGCAACCUCAUGGUUCCUAGUCGGAUUCGCUAACCACUGCGCCACGACGGGAACUCCAAUCUACUAAUUCUAUUACUGAUGGAUAUAAGGCUUGACGUUACUGGUUAUUACAAAUAAAGCUUCUACGAACCUUCUUAAACAAAACUUUUGGUAAAAAUAAACACAUAUUCCUGUUGAAUAUAUACCCAGGGAGGGAACUGCUAGAUCUUUAAGACAUACACAUAGUUAUUAGCUUUAGCAGUUAUGGCCUAACAUUUCUUCAAAGUGGCUAUGUUAAAUACAUAUACUCUCAUCAGCAGUGUAAUAGCAUUCCAAUUCUUCCACAUCCUCACCAACUCUACUGGUCAUUCUAGCAGCUGUGUUCUAUCUUACUAUAGUUCUAAUUUACAUUUAUCUGAUGAUUAGUGACGGUGAAUACCAUUUUCUUUGGUUUACUGGCCAUUUCUUGAUAUCCUUUUCCGUAAAGUGACCAUUUUACAGUGUGCAGAAGUCUUUUUAGAUCCAAGAAUUUUACUGAAUAUGCUCACUAUGGUCUAUAUCUUAGCCUUACACUUUGUUUACAGUACCUUGAACAAAUUUAACAUAGUAAGUUUACAGUGGAGAAUUUGGGCAACUCCUUAAUUAGGUGAUCAAAAUUAAUAUCACAUAUGAUAGAUAGAUGGAUAUCCUGUGUGUGAUAUUCUGAGAAGGACACAACAUAAACUAAGUGGUUUUCUGAGAAUGUAUAACCUAAUAAAGAAAAUUCAAGAAAACAUAGAAUGAAAAACACUAUAUUUAAACAACAGGGAGACUGCAUUCCUCAAAAAUAUCCUUGAGGAGUUCCUGUCGUGGCUCAGCAGAAACAAAUCUAACUAGCAUCCAUGAGGACACGGGUUCUAUCCCUGGCCUCCCUCAGUGGGUUAAUGAUCCGGCAUUGCCAUGAGCUAUGGUGUUUUGCUGUGGGCUGCGGUGUAGGUUGCAGAUGAAGCUUGGAUUUGGUGUUGCUGUGGCUGUGAGCCGCAUGUGCAACCUACACCACAGCUCACAGCAAUGCCAAAUCCUUAACCCACUGAGCAAGGCCGGGGGACUGAAGCUGCAUCCUCAUAGAUACUAGUCAGAUUAGUUUCUGCUGAACCACAACAGGAACUCCUGUUUUUUAAAUUUUUUAAAAAAUUGAAGUAUUUACAAUGCUGUGUUAGUUUCUGG
rnacentral:lncRNA from 1 species